CAAGCUGUUGAGCAGACUCGCUUCUACACGAACUCCUAUUGGCUGCUCAUGACGCCGAAGAGUUUCGGAUUGGAGUUCGCUACCUGCCGUCCUCAUUGGAUGUAGCUCUGAAACUUCACGGAUUGGUGCGAAAAACAGCAGAGGUGGCCGCAGCUGUAUCGCAUUUUAUGUUUCUGGCGAGAGGAGAGCGGAAUCUUUAUCCCGUGAAUUCAUUUAACUGCGGCAGCCACCCGGCGAUUCCUCCAGGACAGCACCCAAUGAAGGUCGGAAGAGUCUGGAUCUCUCAGAAAGCAGUUGGUCUGAAGAAAACAGAACAGCUCAGUGACAGACAUCUGCAAGUAUUCCUGAGAGGGAGCCUCACUCUGGAAAAAUGAAGAAAGGUGUUCCAGUUUUUAAAAGACCUGGAUCUGCUAUCUGUUGAUAAAUUUCUGAUUCCCUUGUGAAUGAUAGAAAUGAAAGUGAAUGGAUAGUCUUAUCAGAUAAGUAUGUUUUAAGUCUAAAUAUAUUUGAUUUUUUUCCAUAAGAUGGCUCUACUAGUACUUAUCUUUAUUUGAAACAGUUUUGUUACAUUGUAUCAUGACAGCUGGCAUAUCAGCAUGCACUUCAAAAAAUGUUAUAAAAAUGGGUGAAUUUUUGUGUAGCUAUAUUAAUACUGAAGAUGGAAGAAGAAAAACAUUUUCUGCAUAUUGUGCCUUUUUAUAUCAAGGAAGGUAAAAAUGCUACUGAAACACAAAGAUUUGUGCAGUGUAUGGAGAUAGUGCUGUGACUGAUUGAAAAUCUUGCAAGUGGUUUGCAAAGUUUCAUACUGGAAAUUUCUCACUGGAUGAUGCUCCCACUUAAACCAGCUAAAACUUGAUGAAAAGUGUCUGUAAUUAGUCAAUAGAAAACGCAUAGUCUUCCAUCAGGAUAACACAAGACUGAAUGUUUGAUGACCAGGCAAAAACUGUCUCAGCUUGGCUGGCAAGUUGAUUCAUCUUCCGUAUUCUCCAGACAGUAAGCCUUCAGAUUUACAUUUAGUUUGAUCUUUAAAAAAUUAUCUUAAUGGAAAAAAUUGCAAUUUCCUGGAAGACUGUAAAAGGCACCUGAACAGUUCUUUGCUCAAAAAGAUAAAAAGUUUUGCUAAGUUGGAAUUAAAAAGUUGCCUAAAAAAAUGUCAGAAGGUAGUGGAAUAAAACAGUGACUACAUUCUUCAAUAAAGUUAUUGGUAAAAAUGAAAAA